CUUGCCUGAAAAGUCAAAGUUUGGAAGGGGAGAAAAGGAAAAGGUAUCCGCCGGUAACAUGUUGCAAUUAAAAGCAACCAAUGGAGAUCCCGCUUUCAUCAUGCAUCAAUUUAACAUUUAAACUCCCCAUAAACUUAACGAACUCCUUCAACUUCCCCUCCUUUUUUUCUCUCUCUCUUUCGCCGGAAUCUAGGAGAGAGAAAACAACCGUAUCUAAUUUGGUUUGCAAAAAUGGCGAAUUUGGAAUCGAUUUUUAGAUGGAGAUUUAGCAGAUUUUGGAUGUGUAUGUUGCUUUUAGUGGCUGCUAAAAUCGAUUUCAAAUUCUGCAACAGUGCGAGAUCUGAUCAGGAAAUGCGCGAGAGAUUUUACGGCAACAAUAUCUUCAAUUCUACGCCGCCUGAUGGAGAGGGUACUAUUGCGAAGAUGAUUGAUCAUGUUUUGGAGAAGGAGUUUUCUGAGAAUGAUCAACCUGAAGGUUCUGAUGGAAGUAGUUUCAACAACAGUGUAGCUGGCAAGCAAGCGGAGCUUGAAACUGUAGCUAAAAUAAGUCAUGAAAAAGCCAAAAAGAAUGACACAGGAGAAGCAAAUGGAACAAAGUCCUUCCAGAUUCAAGAUGUUUUCUCUUUGGAUAAUGAAGAAUCUGAUGACAUGGCAACUUUGAUCGAUAAAAAGGAUAAUGUGUUUGUGAUGUCUAACAAGAAAUCUAAAUAUCCAAUCCUUCAAGUAGAUUUUAGGCUAAUAUCAGAUUUGGUUUUGCUGAUUGUUUCUGCUGCAGUUGGUGGGAUUAUCUUUUCAUGUUUGGGACAACCGGUUAUUGUUGGCUACCUCCUUGCGGGUUCAAUGAUUGGGCCAGGAGGUGUGAACUGUAUCAGUGAAAUGGUUCAGGUUGAGACUGUUGCCCAAUUUGGUGUUGUGUUCCUUCUGUUUGCUUUAGGAUUGGAAUUUUCCAUGACCAAGCUCAGAGCAGUAGGGGCUGUUGCUGUUCUCGGCGGGAUGCUUCAGAUCAUCGUAUUUAUGUUUUUAUGUGGCAUAACUGCUAUGAUAUGUGGAGGAAAGUUGUCGGAGGGUGUGUUUGUGGGUUCAUUCCUAUCUAUGUCAUCAACAGCUGUGGUGGUGAAAUUUUUGAUAGAAAGAAAUUAUAACAAUGCUCUACAUGGUCAAGUUGCUAUCGGGAUACUUAUUUUUCAGGAUUGUGCUGUGGGGUUACUGUUUGCAUUGCUUCCAGUUAUGGGCGGUAACAGUGGCCUUCUGAAGGGAAUUGUUUCAAUGGGUAGAUUGUUGGUGAUCUUGUCUCUAUACCUCACUACUGCAUCUAUAUUAACGUGGUCAUUCAUUCCUCGAUUUCUAAAGCUGAUGAUACAACUGUCAUCUCAGACAAAUGAACUUUAUCAACUUGCUCUGGUGGCAUUCUGCUUGCUAUCUGCUUGGUGUAGUGAUAAACUUGGUCUCAGUCUCGAAUUGGGAUCAUUUGUAGCUGGGGUCAUGAUCUCUACUACGGACUUUGCACAGCAUACGUUGGACCAGGUGGAGCCUAUUCGUAAUCUGUUUGCUGCUCUUUUUCUUUCCAGCAUCGGAAUGCUUAUACGUGUGCAAUUUCUUUGGAAUCAUGUUGAUAUAUUGGUCGCAUCAGUUAUCCUGGUUGUAGUGUUUAAGACAUCAGUUACGGCUGUGGUAACAAAGGCGUUUGGCUACAGUAUCAGGACAUCCCUUCUUGUCGGGCUCUCACUUGCUCAAAUUGGAGAAUUUGCUUUUGUUCUCUUAAGUCGUGCUUCCAAUCUCCACCUUGUUGAGGGGAAAAUGUAUCUUUUGCUUCUUGGAACCACUGCUCUUAGCUUGGUUACUACUCCAAUUUUGUUUAAAUUGAUGCCGGCUUUGACUCAUUUGGGAGUUUUCAUGCAUUGGUUCCCUUCAGAGACCAGCGUAUUACAGAAUGAGAUGAAGGAAACCCACCUGAAGAGGGAGGAUAUAAGGGAAAUCCCUCCAAUUAGUCCAAUGAGAUUCAAACCCUAGACAGGGUUGUAAGGUGGGGAGCGAUGCCACUAUACUGCCACCUCAACCUCAGGAGAGAGUUUCGAUGAUUGAUGCACACAAUAGAAUGUUGUGAUCUUCAAAGAUGUAAUACUUUGAGGAUUCUUAAUGGCCUAAAGAAGUGGUAUCAGUUGUGAAUUGAGAAUUAAGCUCGCGAUGGUUUUCAGCAUCAGAAUAUUGACUUUGACAAAACUUGGAAGUCGGCUUUUGAGUGUAUAUAUUGUUACACAAUUUUUGUAUUCGUUCGGAUUGUGUACAUAUAUGAUUCUUACCAGCUGUGCUUGUGACCCUCUAACUGAGCUUCUGACAGGUGCAAAAAAAAUUGUACCAUUAUCAUUGAUCAUAGUUACUGUACACGACCUAGGAAUAGAUCAGAGAAGUUUAAAGAUGUUGGAGCAAUUUGUAGUGAUGGAAGUUUUGUUUUCUUCAUCUGAUUGUAGUUUCCACUGUAAUUUAGCAAAAACUUCAGUCAGAGAUAUCAAUGAAUACAAUGAAAAUUGUUAUCACUGAAUUUGUAUUCAGGGUAACUUGUUAUCA